ACUCAGAAGCCUGUGCCCAGGAUCUGGAUAAAGCCGGACACCAGGAGAUCUUGCUCAUUCCCAGCCCAGGGGAGCCACCAAGAAGAGAAGAAUGGAGACACCACCUAAAGCCAAAAAGGGGAUGUUCGGGCUGAAGCUGAAGAAGAAGAAGAAGAAAGCAGAGAAGGGGUUAAUCCUAGCCAACAAGGGGGCCCAAGGUGAGGCGUUUUGGGGGUGGGGAGGGACCACUACCCUGGGGCCUACUGGUCUCACAGACUUGAUGGCUCC
ensembl:lncRNA